CCUACGGGAGGCAGCAGUGGGGAAUAUUGGGCAAUGGACGCAAGUCUGACCCAGCAACGCAGCGUGAAGGAAGAAGGCUUUCGGGUUGUAAACUUCUUUUAAGGGGGAAGAGCAGAAGCCGGUAACCCUUGAAUAAGCCACGGCUAACUACGUGCGAGCAGCCGGGGUAAUACGUAGGUGGCAAGCGUUGUCCGGAUUUACUGGGUGAAAAGGGCGUGCAGCCGGAGAGACAAGUCAGAUGUGAAAGCCACGGGUUCAACCCGUGAACUGCAUUUGAAACUGUUUCCCUUGAGUGUCGGAGAGGUAAUCGAAAUUCCGUGUGUAGCGGGGAAAGGCGUAGAUAUAAGGAAGAACACCAGUGGCGAAGGCGGAUUACUGGACGAUAACUGACGGUGAGGCGCGAAAGCGUGGGGAGCAAACAGGAUUAGAUACCCGGGUAUC
rnacentral:rRNA from 1 species